GCGCCGGUAGCUCAGCCAGGAUAGAGCGGCUGCCUUCUAAGCAGCGGGUCGCAGGUUCGAAUCCUGCCCGGCGCA
rnacentral:tRNA from 1 species